rnacentral:lncRNA from 10 species
GGUUAGACAGAAACAGAGUGUAAGGGAAGGAAGAUCACAUGACUGAAAAGAAGACUGAAGAAACCAGUGACCACAUUAAGAUGGAACUGAAGGAAUGAAAAGGGACAAAGUCAAUGACAAUGAAGAAAAUCAGAAAAGACCAUCGACGACGAAUGAGAGACUUCCACAAAUUUAUGCAAGAGGAAAGGUGGGGAGAGACUUUCAUUUCUGGGAGUGCAGUAGAUUGAAUAUUCUGCAAGGUCCUGCUGCUAAAAACUGAAUCCUACAUAAAUUACAACCAACAUGACUUUAAAUGCCUUGCUGGGAUCAGAAGAAAGUGAGGGAAAUCUCCAAAAGCCAGAAGUCAAAAAAAAAAAGAAGGAAUGAAGGAGGAAAAGGAGGGAGAAAAGACAAAGAAAAAGAAAAAGUGAGCCAAACACAGAGGAGUAAGCAGUGAUCAGUAUGAAGAAAUUUCACCCUUCAUGUGGUAUAUGGUUCUAAAACCACCAAGAGAUGGAAUUGUGCAUAAUAAAAAGAACAGGACAUACAAGAAAGCUGGGAUUGGAGAAAACACUCCAAACCUGUAUAGUCUCAUAAAAAAUUUACUGAACUGUAAUAACAAAAGUAAAUAAACACAUACACAAAUGCUACUGCCAUUUUUUGUUUUCUAUAAAUAAAUAAUAUUGUAAUCAUAGACAAAACAUUUAAACGUGCUUGCUGUGGUCAAAUGCUGUGGAGAAGAGGUAGUAAGAAGGGACAACGUCAUUCUCAGGCUGAGAUGUGGUGACCCCCGAGGUGGAAGGUUGUGGCUCAUUGUCUGCAUUUCUUUCUUUUACUCUGGCUUGAAAUAGAACCCUACCUUUGUUGUCUUCCAGUUUCUUCCUUUCAUAAAGAAGCUGUAUGUGCAACUCCAAAGGCAUCCAGACACCAAGUGCCAUCCUGCUGCUCUGAGCACUGGAGUCUGCAGCUCCAAUCCUUGGCAAACCCUUCCCAGUCCCAAUUAGCACAGAUGAUAACUGGGACGUGAUCAUCUC